CCCACCUGGUCCCAGCUAUAAAGCUUAAUCUUGAACACAAAGGCUCUUUCAACAGCGCCCUGCACAGCUUGAAGAUGAACUCCAUGUGCCUCCUAAUCCUCUCUUCAAACUUGGCAACAGUCAGUGGCGUCAAAGGGAAUCCAGCUAUGAACUAAACAGAAGCUGAUCAUGUUAUAUAUGUCUAUAAAUUUGGGCUCUACACCAGCAUCAAAUAUGUGGGGCUAUAUUUAGCCAACUUAGAGUGAUGAAAGGAAGGCCACAAGAUUUGAAGAGAUGCAGACCAAGUCCUAAUAUUAACCUCCUGUAUCGAUGUCAACAACCACUAACCUCUAGACUUCUUGUUAUGGGAAAAA